CCGCCUUGGCAGGUGGGGCUCUCUGUGUGAGGACACGUUCUGGGAGGUCACGGGCGGCUCUCUGUGUGAGGACACGUUCUGGGAGGUCACGGGCGGCUCUCUGUGUGAGGACACGUUCUGGGAGGUCACGGGCGGCUCUCUGUGUGAGGACACGUUCUGGGAGGUCACGGGCGGCUCUCUGUGUGAGGACACGUUCUGGGAGGUCACGGGCGGCUCUCUGUGUGAGGACACGUUCUGGGAGGUCACGGGCGGCUCUCUGUGUGAGGACACGUUCUGGGAGGUCACGGGCGGCUCUCUGUGUGAGGACACGUCCUGGGAGGUCACGGGCGGCUCUCUGUGUGAGGACACGUCCUGGGAGGUCAUGGACUGCACUCUGUGUGAGGACACAUUCUGGGAGGUCAUGGACGGACGGCACCGAGAGGAGGCGGCCUGCCUUCUCCCCGGGAGUCCUUCCCUCUCUCCGCAGGGGUCCCAGGACUUUAAAAAAAUGUAGAAAUUGUCCUCUUCAGAGACGACUAGAAACCUGGGUUUUUAAUUUGUCACGACAUUCAUCAUUCUUUCUUGGCCAUGAUGUUUAGAAUCUUGACAAGUACAGAUUUAGUAGAACAUGAAAUUGUUUUCCAGCUAAAUCUGUUCUGUCCAUUUUUAAAUGUUAAUUCACUUGAUAGGAUGUUUUGCUAGUUUUAUGGCAGGUUAGACCAAGACUUCUGCUAUCCUUGGAAAGAAGAGUGGGCACUUACUGAUUACAUAUAAAGACAAAUUGCUUUUAUCUUAAAUAACACAGACUUUUUUUUUUUUAAGAUUUAUUUGAAAGGCAGAGAGAGAGAGAAAGAGAGAUCUUCCAUCUACUGGUUUACUUCCCAAAUGGCUGCAGUGGCCAGGGCUGGGCCAGGAAAGAGCCAGGAGCUUCUUCCAGGUCUCCCACAUGGGUGCAGGGGUCCAAGCACUUGGACCAUCCCCCACUGCUUUUGCAGGCCAUUAACAGAGAUUGGAAGUGGAGCAGCUGGUACUCAAACUGGAGCCCUUAUGGGAUGCUGGCACCGCAGGCAGAGGCCAAACCUUCUACGCUACAGUACCAACCCCAGAACUUUAUUUACUUUUGAAUGAAUAGAAUAUCCUUGUUUAUUUAAGCCUGAGCUGUUUGGAGAGCACAUCGUGUUUCCAUUUUGUCUUCUGCGUUCUACGUGGUGGCCAGUUCAUUAUCACAUGGUUCACUGUUCUUAAUAAGUGUUUGCUAAAUAGACUGAUUCCCUGGUGCCCAAAACCGGCCAGGCAGAAGGCCCUGCUGUCAGCCUUGGCUGCCAGGAAUAAGCCGAGACAGUUCCUCAGCACAGAGCGCUUGGGCAGCAUUUGCAGAAGAUGCCACCUCAGGCACCUGGUGCGCCAUCAGCAGUCCCUCCACCCUGUCGCAGCAGAGCAGGUGGUGGACAGUGUGCGCAUGUUCCUGGAAAUCUUCAACCUUGCUUGUGAAAAAGGAUCCUUCUUUCUUACAGAACAAGAUCCGACAUGCCGCCAUACACAUGACAUUCCACAUGCGUAUCAGCACUGUCACUGUUUCAGUCCAUGGGGUCCACAACAGAGUACCCCAGACGGUGAUUUCUGAACAGUGGGCGUCCCGCAGGCCGUUCUGGAGACCUGAGUCCAAGAACAAGGCGCUGGCAGACUCAGUGUGUAGUGAGGGCCCGUUUCUCAUGAAUCGAGCCUUCUCCGUGUCCUCACGUGGUGGAAAAGGUGAACACGCUUCCUCUGGCCUCCUCUGUAGGGCACUAAUGCUGGCAGAGAGUCUGCCCUCGUGACGUACACACUGCCCAAGGCUCCACUCCCAAUGCUGUCGUGAGGUGACUGGGUCUCGGAACACAAGCGUUCAGACAUGGCAUUUACCUUUGCCUUUUUUUUUUUUUUUUAAAGGCAGAGUUAGUGAGAGAGAGACAGAGAGAAAGGUCUUCCUUCCAUUGGUUCACCCCCCAAAUGGCUGCCAUGGCUGGCGCUGUGCCAAUCUGAAGCCAGGAGCCAGGUACUUAUCCUGGUCUCCCAUGGGGUGCAGGGCCCAAGCACUUGGGCCAUCCUCCACUGCACUCCCGGGCCACAGCAGAGAGCUGGCCUGGAAGAGGGACAACCGGGACAGAAUCUGGCACCCUGACCAAGACAAGAACCCGGUGUGCCGGCGCUGCAGGCGGAGGAUUAGCCUAGUGAGCCGCGGCGCCGGCGAGCUUUGCCUUUUCUUAGUGGAGCAUCUGCGUGGCACCAAGGGCUCCCAGAGUCCUGAGCUGCUAAGGUGAGCUUGCAGGGAAAGAACAGGAGCCGCUUCUGCCCUCCUUUUCUGACUGUGAAUUACCGCUGAGGUCAUUUUGUAUCUGCUCCGUGAGUGAUUUUUCCAAGUUGAAUCCUGUCUGUAAACUUACUUUCAGAGACUGGGAUAUUGGUAGUUUUGGAGAAAAACGUGCCUGACUUGUUUUUCUAGUAACAGCCCCCUGCUGGCAGGGAAGCCUUUGUUUUCCUCCUGCCCCUGAGGCCAUUGGGGUUUGGGGGUCCUCAGGGUCUCCCUUGCUCUGGGAACGCCACCAGCCACCGUGGUGAAGUGAGCACCUUGCAGUAUUUUGGCAGGCAGGGGGUCCUGGCAGCUGAGGGUGUUUGCUGUUCGAUGCUUCAGUGUAGGUGGUAGGGAUCCUAAAUCUGAUUGGUGUUUCUGAUUGUAAGUGUCUUGGGCUGCUAGAGCAUGACAUUGUCCAGGAUCGUGUUUGGGUUUGGUAGAGAACUGGCUGUUGCGUUGCCGCUGAGAGGGGCGCUGGCACUUCCCUCCGACUGACUCGUCUUGGUUUACU